CGAGGGUGCGAACGUUGCUCGGAUUUACUGGGCGUAAAGCGCGUGUAGGCGGACUCGCAAGUCGGUUGUGAAAUCCCUGGGCUUAACCUAGGAACUGCAUCCGAAACUGCUUGUCUUGAGUAAUGGAGAGGGUGGCGGAAUUCCCGGUGUAGAGGUGAAAUUCGUAGAUAUCGGGAGGAACAUCAGUGGCGAAGGCGGCCACCUGGACAUUUACUGACGCUGAGACGCGAAAGCGUGGGGAGCAAACAGGAUUAGAUACCCGCGUAGUCC
rnacentral:rRNA from 1 species